CGUUUACAUCUCAAUGAGUCGACUGAAGUGAUGCACUAUUCGGCUCUAAGCAAGGGAUCGGAAAUGCCGAGUUAGCCCCGUCGCGGUGCUCUCCGCACAAGCCGCCCCAGGGCAUCCCAGCGCGGCCGCAGGAGCGUCCGACCCGUCCCGGCCGGACCAGGGCUGCAGCCGCCGGGCUAAGGAGCGAUACGUGCUCGUCUAUGUUCUCGCACCAGAUGGGAUAAUGGAAACCCUGUGAAAUCCCCAAAUCUGCUGUUAGGGCAACCUGAGAAGCAGAGCCAAAUGGAAGGUGGUUUUCUGAAGUCAUUCAGGUUACAAGCAGAUUUAAAAAUACUUCUCUAAGGGCAAGUGAAAGAAAGAAGUUCUACAUGAAUGUAUACAAUACAAGAAUUCUGAUUCACUCAGAAGCCCAACUUACUGUAAAUCCAGGGACUUGCAAGUUAACAUCACCUUACAGGCCCAUUUCCCAGAUCUCUAACCCAAGGAAAAAUCAAAAUGGAACCUGACAAAAGGAAGACUGCUCUGGGAAGGAGACAAAAAGGACAUCUGCUCACUGUUCCCUGGAAUUCCUACAUUUUACAUUUAAACAUUGAAUAAAAUCCAUGAGGCAGUCCUGGGAGCGGGGAUGAGAUCGAACCCCUCCUUUUCUCUCUUCCUCUGGAAAUGCCAGUGUUCAGUGCAUUGUAAAAUCUAACUCGUCCUUUUCCCAUUCCCUAGCAGUAGUGAUCCAGGUUCUGCUCAACAACAUAAGGCGGCGAGUUAGCAUCCCCCAUUUUCUGUCAUUUGCUCCAAGCUGGAAUUCCCAUGGACUACAUUUAGAGCUCUUGCUAUUUUUACUGGUGCUCAAAGCAAUAGACAUUGCAUCUGUAACUACUGUUUUCUGUUGUAUGGUGUUGGUUGGCUCUGAGCAACUUUCCAUUUACCACCCAGGAGCUCCACAACAGUAUCCCAACUCGCUGCCCAAGUAGUGAAGACCAGGCCUCACAUGUUACUUGGCAGUUCCCAUCUCUCUGUUGUUUAUAUUGGGAGAUAAGCAGAGAGAAUAAUUUUUAGCAAAUGUACUUGCUUUUUAAGCACUGCAAUACCUUCUGACCACCAAUUUCAGGCUCUAGCUACUAUUCACAGAGAAUUGAUGAAGAAACCUUCCUAUUAGGAAGUUUAUAGUAUUGUCUUGCUCCUGGAUAGUCCAGUGGUAACACAAUAAACUGGAAAUGUGACUUAGUAAAGGGUUUAAAGAAGCCAACAGGACCUGAAGCCACUGGUGGGUGAUCACAUCUGUCCAAGGCAUAUUUUGUUGCUCACAACAUCAACACAGGAGUUAUAUUUCAAAGCAUUGACAUUCCCCCACCCUGUAUACUGACUCAAGGUUUUAAAAUCUAGGAUUGUCUCUUCACUGCAACAUGAAUUAACUUCUUGUGCUAUUUGAUAAGAGAGGAAAAAUAUGAAGAAUGCUAAAAGGUGGAAGGAUGUGCUAGCUACAGCAGUUCCUCUGGCAUAUAGGAUUUAGAACAGAUAAUUUCAUAACUGUGAAAGGUCAUGCAAAUAUCAGUCUGGAAGAGAUGUGGAGAGACCUAACUUUGUAGAAGAUGAGUCUGAAGCAGGCAUGUAAUAUAUUGUCCUUUGUUCACCGCUGGGAAACAGGUGAUCCUUGAAGCAAGUUUUAAACGAAUUAUUCAUUGCUACAAGUUGAUGCUGACAAGUAUGAUGUGGAGAAGUACAGCUAGCAAAGUUAUGGUGAGAAACAAGAUUAUGUCACAAGGUGUCCAGCACCUAGAGAUAACCCCCUCACUUUUGAAACCUUGUUGGACCAAGGACAAAAUGAAUACUUUAGAGCCCUCAAAAAAUAACAGACAGGAGUCCGAGGCACCAAGGAUCGCCGGGCGAGGAAGGAGGCGGCUUCCCGAGGGUCGGCGGGCGAUGCCGGCGGGCGGCCGCAGCCGGGGCGGGGGACCCGGUGCCGCCGGGGUCACAACUUUGCCGGGGCUGGCGUUGCCUCGAUGGGCUCC